ensembl:lncRNA
GUGUCUUUUUGUCGAGCAAAACCUUUUUUAUUUUCAAUCAAAAAUAAUUGUUCUGAAAGCAACUUUUUUUCUGACACAAAGGAAGUCAAAGCAGACACCUACAAAGAUGGCAUCUCAGGUGAGCAGCAGUGGGCUUUAUUGACAUAUUCUAAAAAUGACAUCUACUGCUUUAUUUUUAAUGGUCAUAUAUCUCAGUUAUUGUUUUAAUAUCCACAAAAAAUAAGCUGUUUUCUUCACUUUCAGAGAGCGAGCUGACCAAAAGUUUGAAAAUGUAGAUAUUGCCAGAUGUUCACUGUCUGAGGAACAUGCCGUGGAAGCUUUAUUGCUGGCAAAAGUGUCCAUAACCAGAGAUAAACUGUUCUGUGUUCUUUUUCUCCAUUUCUGCCUGUAUUGUUGUACAUGGAGCCUCUCACAUGCAUUAAUUUAAAAACCCUUAAGAUGUCAGCUGCUAAUUUUCAGAUUUACACUACAUAAACACACCCAUUUUCACUGGACUAUCUGUUGCUGCCAAGUCAUGAUUUCCCUGGGGGUUAGCCUGGCAAUAAUCAAGUGGUGAGACACAUAGCCCUCUAUUUUUAAAUGUUUCAGGUACACUCUGAUAGGUGUCUGCGUCACAUACAAUAUCUUAUAUUGACAUUAUCUUCUAUUGUUUGUCCUCAUGUUUGUUUUUCAGCAUAAAGUACGCUGUAGCCACUUAGUGUGGACACCACACACACAAAAUAAGUCUCUCUUCUUCACUUCAUCCCUCUCCCCCUUCUCCACAAAUCCUCUAGGUUAUAUAAGCUGUUUUGGUGAACCCCUCCUGCAUCUGAACUGGCUGACACAGAGGGCACAGCAUGAUCAUAGGUAUUUGACGUGAGAGAGGAAGCCAGUCCCGUCAUCGCCACCUCACCUGCUCUUAAGAUAACCUUCAGGCCAACUGGGGGCCCAAGGCUGGUUAGGAAACACCACAAUUGUGAUGAACUGAGAGAAUAUUAGAGUAGCACUGUAAUUCCUGAAUCAUAUGCUGUCUGCCGCUGUUCUUACCUCUUUCUCUUUCUGUCUGCUACACCUCUCUCCCCACCUCGUCUUUCUUCCCUGUUUUAUAAUGCACACCAUAUGUGCAUUGAAGUACAGAUUGAACUUGUAUUUAUAAUAUUACAAUUAUCAUAAUUAUAAUGCAUUUAUGUAUUUAUAACACCUGGAUAAUGAAC